UACGUAGGUGGCAAGCGUUUGUCCGGAUUUACUGGGCGUAAAGAGCGCGUAGGCGGUCUGACAAGUCCCCUGUGAAAGCCCCCGGCUUAACCGGGGAACUGCAUGGGAUACUGUUGGGCUAGAGUGCAGGAGGGGAGAGCGGAAUUCCUGGUGGAGCGGUGAAAUGCGUAGAUAUCAGGAGGAACGCCGGCGGCGAAAGCGACUCUCUGGCCUGUAACUGACGCUGAGGCGCGAAAGCUAGGGGAGCAAACGGG
rnacentral:rRNA from 1 species